UCCCACCGCAGCCCCCAGAGAUGCAGGCGAUUUCAAGCAGAAUCCUAGCAGAUGGUUUUGGUGAUGUGAUGCGCAAGAGGGUCGCUCCCAGGAGCUGACCCAAAAUGUGAAUUGAUGCAGAAAUGUUCAAAGCUGAAAUUAAGACUUCAGGAAAAUGAGAAACUGAGAGAAACCAAAAUUGGCAACUAUGUCCAUCUUAAAACCCAAGGAGCACAUUCAGCAUCCUGUUGUCCCAAUGGUCAACCAACUGCCUAUGGGAAACCCACGAACAGGAUCCAAGCACAAUCGCACUCUCCCGAUUUGUGAUUGUCAGCUACGGGUAUUCAAAGGCUCGCUGCUUCCAACCAUAAGUAGGGGGAGUACAUGAUGUUGAAGGGAUUGUUCUCUGGUGAGCCUCCAACAAGCCAUAUCUCCUACAGCAGGAAUGGCUGACAUGUUGCCUCCAGAUGUUGGACUACAACUCCCAUCAUCCCUGACUAUUGGCUAUACUGAUUGGGGCUUCUGGGAUGGGUAGUCCAACAGCAAGCCUUUGCUGAAGAAUGAUCCUGGCCUGGCCACUGUUUUGUUUUGGAAUCGUUAUUUUAAUAUUUUUAAACUGAGUUUUAAUAUAAAUCGUAUCGUCUUCCGUAUUUGCACGUUUGUAUGUUCUUUUGAAUGUUAAGCACUUAAGAGGUUUUCAGAAUAAAUAAACCUAUGGGGCAGGAUUUGCCUAAAAAGCCACAUGAGUUCUCCCCCACACACACACCUGCCUGAAUUUGGCUCCAGGGCAUUGUGUGAACCCCCAGAAGAGCAUGAAAUGGGACACAAAGAGAGUUCAUUCUGUCGGGCAAGCUGAUAUGCUUGUACAGCCAGAAUGUUUGUAACAGCAUGUAAUUCCGCCCAUUGAGUAUAACCCCUUGACUGCUCCUGUCCUUUAGAAUCCAGCUACCAAGUUAGGCAGCCCAUAGAUCAAAUUUCCCCAAGUCAGUACCCUCCAGUGACUCAUAGGAUGGAUCUAAGUUGUUAUGCUAGCUUCCUGGCAGGUGGGGUGCUGUUGCUUAGUGGAAGGGACAAUGUGGUGAAGACUCACAGGCACACCAGAUUGGUUCCACCAGUGCAUUUGCACCGCACUGACCUCC